AACGAACGCUGGCGGCAGGCUUAACACAUGCAAGUCGAACGCAUCGCAAGAUGAGUGGCAGACGGGUGAGUAACGCGUGGGAACAUACCCUUUUCUACGGAAUAGCUCUGGGAAACGGGAAUUAAUACCGUAUACGCCCUACGGGGGAAAGAUUUAUCGGGGAAGGAUUGGCCAGCGUUGGAUUAGCUAGUGGGUGGGGGAAAGGCCUACCAAGGCGACGAUCCAUAGCUGGUCUGAGAGGAUGAUCAGCCACAUUGGGACUGAGACACGGCCCAAACUCCUACGGGAGGCAGCAGUGGGGAAUAUUGGACAAUGGGCGCAAGCCUGAUCCAGCCAUGCCGCGUGAGUGAUGAAGGCCUUAGGGUUGUAAAGCUCUUUCACCGAUGAAGAUAAUGACGGUAGUCGGAGAAGAAGCCCCGGCUAACUUCGUGCCAGCCGCCGCCGUAA
rnacentral:rRNA from 1 species